rnacentral:rRNA from 1 species
AACGAACGCUGGCGGCAUGCCUAACACAUGCAAGUCGAACGAAGCCUUCGGGCUUAGUGGCGCACGGGUGCGUAACGCGUGGGAACCUACCAUCAGGUUCGGAAUAACAGUUAGAAAUGACUGCUAAUACCGGAUAAUGUCUUCGGACCAAAGAUUUAUCGCCUUUUGAUGGGCCCGCGUUGGAUUAGCUAGUUGGUGGGGUAAAGGCCUACCAAGGCGACGAUCCAUAGCUGGUCUGAGAGGAUGAUCAGCCACACUGGGACUGAGACACGGCCCAGACUCCUACGGGAGGCAGCAGUGGGGAAUAUUGGACAAUGGGCGAAAGCCUGAUCCAGCAAUGCCGCGUGAGUGAUGAAGGCCUUAGGGUUGUAAAGCUCUUUUACCAGGGAUGAUAAUGACAGUACCUGGAGAAUAAGCUCCGGCUAACUCCGUGCCAGCAGCCGCGGUAAUGUAGACGU